CUCGGGGCUGUGAGAGCCGGGGACAGGGAGGUGGCGGUGUGGAGCUCAAGAGGUACACUGCCACUGUGACGGAGUACAGCAAGAAACCCAAAGCCCCUCCAGCCAAUACCUACUGGGGUGAGAA